ACAUGUCCAUUAUAUUCAAUUUAUAUAAAGUUAUUGUUGUGGAUGGAUUUGAACCAAUGUGUCAAGUAUCCACACACAGUGAUGUCAUCAGCUUUAGCACAGCAUUUCAGAGUGACCUCCCCUUGACUUCACAGCCCCAGUUUUCACACGUGCGAGUAUGAUUCGUCUGCAACAAGCCACUCGUGGAGAUCCCGAGGAGGAUAAGAAGAGGGCAGAACAGGAACUGAAACAGGCUCGACUCAUGACGAUACAAAAUGUCAUCAUGUUCGGCAUUACAUGUGGAAUAAUAAGAGGAUUGCCAUGGGUGGUGCAGCAGAUUAUGUAAUCAGCAAUGGAGAUCUGUGUCCAGCUUGCUGUGAAACAACAGAGGUCCAAUGAACAGCUCUGAUGACAGAUUCACCAUGUUCCCAGAUACAACACCUUCUGUUUGCAAGAAAGAGGACAGAUUCAAGGCUGUGAACGCCUGAGAACACUGCAUGGCUUGUGAUGCUGGACUCUUUUAUAACUGUGUGAAGAGUUGAGUGCAGAGAGGACAGUGUACUAAAUGUGUGUGUGAAAGAAAUGUGUAUUAUAUUAAAACCUCUUAUCUGAUA